rnacentral:lncRNA from 1 species
AAAAAUCUUAGGGCCCAGGCCCAGCUAAAGCACUUUAGGCAGAAAGGAAACUCUGCCAUCCAGAGGGGAAAAGGUCUGAUUUUUUCUCAUCUGUAAUAUGAGGAAAUUUGUUACCAGUGGCAAAUCUGUACAAAUCUGCAGCAACCUCAAGUCUUGUCUCCUCAGAAGAAAGAAUUGAACUGAGGGGCAUAAGGCAGAAGGAGAGACUGAGGCA